rnacentral:rRNA from 1 species
CCACCACCAAAGCAUUUGCUGUACCGCGUUGACGGAGCGAAGCGACGUCAAACCGAUAAAACAGCAGUGUAAAGUGAGCCGCAGGGCGCUUUGCGCGACAGCGCAAAGGCAGGCGGUUUCGCGUAGCGAAAGCGAAUGCUUUGGGGUGGGGUGACUGCGUACCUUUUGUAUAAUGGGUCAGCGACUUAUAUUCUGUAGCAAGGUUAACCGAAUAGGGGAGCCGGAGGGAAACCGAGUCUUAACCGGGCGUUAAGUUGCAGGGUAUAGACCCGAAACCCGGUGAUCUAGCCAUGGGCAGGUUGAAGGUUGGGUAACACUAACUGGAGGACCGAACCGACUAAUGUUGAAAAAUUAGCGGAUGACCUGUGGCUGGGGGUGAAAGGCCAAUCAAACCGGGAGAUAGCUGGUUCUCCCCGAAAGCUAUUUAGGUAGCGCCUCGUGAAUUCAUCUCCGGGGGUAGAGCACUGUUUCGGCUAGGGGGCCAUCCCGGCUUACCAACCCGAUGCAAACUGCGAAUACCGGAGAAUGUUAUCACGGGAGACACACGGCGGGUGCUAACGUCCGUCGUGAAGAGGGAAACAACCCAGACCGCCAGCUAAGGUCCCAAAGUCAUGGUUAAGUGGGAAACGAUGUGGGAAGGCCCAGACAGCCAGGAUGUUGGCUUAGAAGCAGCCAUCAUUUAAAGAAAGCGUAAUAGCUCACUGGUCGAGUCGGCCUGCGCGGAAGAUGUAACGGGGCUAAACCAUGCACCGAAGCUGCGGCAGCGACACUGUGUGUUGUUGGGUAGGGGAGCGUUCUGUAAGCCUGCGAAGGUGGCCUGUGAGGGUUGCUGGAGGUAUCAGAAGUGCGAAUGCUGACAUAAGUAACGAUAAAGCGGGUGAAAAGCCCGCUCGCCGGAAGACCAAGGGUUCCUGUCCAACGUUAAUCGGGGCAGGGUGAGUCGACCCCUAAGGCGAGGCCGAAAGGCGUAGUCGAUGGGAAACGGGUUAAUAUUCCCGUACUUGGUGUUACUGCGAAGGGGGGACGGAGAAGGCUAUGUUGGCCGGGCGACGGUUGUCCCGGUUUAAGCGUGUAGGUGUGUGUUCCAGGUAAAUCCGGUUCACUUUAACACUGAGGCGUGACGACGAGGCACUACGGUGCUGAAGCAACAAAUGCCCUGCUUCCAGGAAAAGCCUCUAAGCAUCAGGUAACAUCAAAUCGUACCCCAAACCGACACAGGUGGUCAGGUAGAGAAUACCAAGGCGCUUGAGAGAACUCGGGUGAAGGAACUAGGCAAAAUGGUGCCGUAACUUCGGGAGAAGGCACGCUGACACGUAGGUGAAGUGAUUUACUCAUGGAGCUGAAGUCAGUCGAAGAUACCAGCUGGCUGCAACUGUUUAUUAAAAACACAGCACUGUGCAAACACGAAAGUGGACGUAUACGGUGUGACGCCUGCCCGGUGCCGGAAGGUUAAUUGAUGGGGUCAGCGCAAGCGAAGCUCCUGAUCGAAGCCCCGGUAAACGGCGGCCGUAACUAUAACGGUCCUAAGGUAGCGAAAUUCCUUGUCGGGUAAGUUCCGACCUGCACGAAUGGCGUAAUGAUGGCCAGGCUGUCUCCACCCGAGACUCAGUGAAAUUGAACUCGCUGUGAAGAUGCAGUGUACCCGCGGCAAGACGGAAAGACCCCGUGAACCUUUACUAUAGCUUGACACUGAACAUUGAGCCUUGAUGUGUAGGAUAGGUGGGAGGCUUUGAAGUGUGGACGCCAGUCUGCAUGGAGCCGACCUUGAAAUACCACCCUUUAAUGUUUGAUGUUCUAACGUGGACCCGUUACCCGGGUUGCGGACAGUGUCUGGUGGGUAGUUUGACUGGGGCGGUCUCCUCCUAAAGAGUAACGGAGGAGCACGAAGGUUGGCUAAUCCUGGUCGGACAUCAGGAGGUUAGUGCAAUGGCAUAAGCCAGCUUGACUGCGAGCGUGACGGCGCGAGCAGGUGCGAAAGCAGGUCAUAGUGAUCCGGUGGUUCUGAAUGGAAGGGCCAUCGCUCAACGGAUAAAAGGUACUCCGGGGAUAACAGGCUGAUACCGCCCAAGAGUUCAUAUCGACGGCGGUGUUUGGCACCUCGAUGUCGGCUCAUCACAUCCUGGGGCUGAAGUAGGUCCCAAGGGUAUGGCUGUUCGCCAUUUAAAGUGGUACGCGAGCUGGGUUUAGAACGUCGUGAGACAGUUCGGUCCCUAUCUGCCGUGGGCGCUGGAGAACUGAGGGGGGCUGCUCCUAGUACGAGAGGACCGGAGUGGACGCAUCACUGGUGUUCGGGUUGUCAUGCCAAUGGCACUGCCCGGUAGCUAAAUGCGGAAGAGAUAAGUGCUGAAAGCAUCUAAGCACGAAACUUGCCCCGAG